rnacentral:lncRNA from 1 species
GAUCAACCCUUGAUGGGCACACCGCUUAUACUGGGAACGCAACUUCUCUACAAAGAAUAAAAUAGAGUGGGUGACCUUAACAAGUUCAGUAAAUGCCUAGAACAACCAUUAUUCAAACAAGUCGUCAUCCAUCAACCAAACAACAUACAACAUAUUCCCAAAACGUAAUUAACUAAGUGUCAUAAUUCAUAUAUUUAGUCAUAUUCCAUGCAUUCUUUUACACUCUAUUUAUACGAACGUUUAGGCAUACAUAUAUACAUUUUGACACAUAUCAAUCACAUAUAAGCACAUA